CGGACGAGUAUAAGAAAUAGGUAUAGUUAUCGUCGGAAUACGUAUAUGAACUUUUACACGACCGUUGCGUACACGUCCGGUCGAUAUCAAUUACGACUUAUAAACUGCACAGUGUGUUAUAUCGAAUUAUUUUUGAAAUAUAUCUCCAUAUUCGAAUUCAGGGGUGGGCCGCUAUUUUAAAUGACGACAUUCCUUUACCAAAUGUGUAAGGAAUAGGAGUGAAAAUGUGUACAUAUUUUUAAAAUAAAGCAUCGAAGAUUCCGUAAUUACCGGGAGGAAAAAUAAACCAAC